GUAUUAGGGAAGUCCUUGCAGGUGAUUCGGCCGAGCGUUUCAGCAUCUAGAGUGUCUUCAAAUGUUGGAAAAGAGAUUAUGUUUCUUCAGCCGAGGGGAAUUGUCCAUGUCCGCAACUUCUCUCAUCUUGUUCUACCAGGCUCUUCUGCUGGCUUGACAAAGACAAGGGAUGUCAUCUCUAGCAUUCAGUCGGAGACUAUCAUGCAAAAGUCAUGCAAGGCUUUCUCUUCUGGCGAUGGUGAUCUGGUUGAUGCUGUU